rnacentral:rRNA from 1 species
UGGAGGAAAGCAGGGGAUCGUAAGACCUUGCGCUUUUGGAGCGGCCGAUGUCUGAUUAGCUAGUUGGUGGGGUAAUGGCCUACCAAAGCUUCGAUCAGUAGCUGGUCUGAGAGGACGGCCAGCCACACUGGGACUGAGACACGGCCCAGACUCCUACGGGAGGCAGCAGUGGGGAAUUUUGGACAAUGGGCACAAGCCUGAUCCAGCCAUGCCGCGUGAGUGAAGAAGGCCUUCGGGUUGUAAAGCUCUUUCAGCCGGGAAGAAAAGGCUGCGACUAAUAAUCGCAGUUCAUGACGGUACCGGAAGAAGAAGCACCGGCUAACUACGUGCCAGCAGCCGCGGUAAUACGUAGGGUGCGAGCGUUAAUCGGAAUUACUGGGCGUAAAGGGUGCGCAGGCGGUUUUGUAAGUCAGAUGUGA